rnacentral:ncRNA from 1 species
CAAGCAAAUCUAAAUACUUUUUGCAUUAGUGAAAAGAUGAUCGACUAAUCCUUAGUUAAGCUGUUAUAAGGAUUGCCCUUUGAGGUUUCAGCAAUAGGUUGCCCUAUGUGUCGUUCAGAGUAUUUGCUUA